UACGGGGGGUGCAAGCGUUAAUCGGAAUUACUGGGCGUAAAGCGUGCGCAGGCGGUUUUGUAAGACAGAGGUGAAAUCCCCGGGCUCAACCUGGGAACUGCCUUUGUGACUGCAAGGCUUGAGUGCGGCAGAGGGGGAUGGAAUUCCGCGUGUAGCAGUGAAAUGCGUAGAUAUGCGGAGGAACACCGAUGGCGAAGGCAAUCCCCUGGGCCUGCACUGACGCUCAUGCACGAAAGCGUGGGGAGCAAACAGG
rnacentral:rRNA from 1 species